CCCUCCUAUUCACCAAAGCUCAACCCUGUACACGCGCGAACAUUUUCCCCCAAAUCCCACUCCAGCGGUGAGAGCGCCGCCAAAAUAGCACCAAAGCUGCGGCGGCGCACCUCAUCCAUAGCCGCGUCACCCGUGCCCUCUUCAAGCCAUCGCCGUUGCAGGCCCGGGCUCCCGCGGCUGUCGCUGCCGCAGCCGCCGCCGCUGCAUCUGCAGCAGACCUGGGCUCCCGCGGCUGCCGCUGUAGAGGGGCCGCCGCCGCCGCCUUUGCUGCAUCUGCAGCAGACCUGGGCUCCCGCGGCUGCCCCUGUAGAGGGUCCGCUGCCGCCGCUGCAGAGGGUCCGCCGCCGUGGAGCUUGACCGACCUGCUGCCCUCGACAACAACUUCAGGCGGAGGCAUCCGUGCUGCUGCCACCCUGCUCCUACCUUGCCGCCCUUGACCAAUACGUCCUCGGUCUGCAACCUGCUGCAACUAUAGGCGUCUUCUUCAACUUCAGAAUCAAGGGCUCCAUUAGAAUCAGAAGAUGGUGAGGACUUGCAAUUAUCUCAUGGAGACAUUGAUGAUUUCUAGUAGUUUUCUUGUUGUUUGAGAUGACAUUUUCCUCAAUGUAUUUUUAAAUCUGGACAUUGAUGAUUUCUGGUUGUUUCCCUUUGUGUUGUACUUUCUAAUUUGUCUAAAAAAUUUCAAACCAUCGCAUCCCUUCAAGGAAUUCCAGCGCCUGAGAUUCCAUGCAUUGUUAUACCACCACCUCCAGCUUUUCCAAGUUUAGCCACUUCGUCUCCGAUCUGUUCUCCAUAAGUGCCCUCUGCCGGCGAACCAACAAAUGAUGUUGAAAAUAUGGAUAAUACAUUACGUGGAGCGAAAGAUGGAAUGUUUGGCCGCUUCUUUGAUGCAAAUGGUGUGAGUACCCUUCCUCAUCCUCCAAGCAGGCAGAGGUGGUAACUCAUGAUGUCUCACCAACGUCAACACACUCGUCUCCACUCAUCUCGGCUCGUAAACCUCCUGGUUGGCAUAUACAGUUUUUCAUCAGAAUAGAUCUGGGGCGUUCUUACCACACGUAUCCUCGUCUGGGGGGGCCAUUCUGGAGCUUGGAGGAAGCUGAAAAGGCUAUCAAAAGCCAUCUUGAUGGCCUGCGCUCUCCAAUAAUGUGCAGAGAUGGGCUAUCGCCGGCGGAGGUUGCAGUGCGACAUCGCCUUUAUUGGCCUGAUGGCACAAGGAAGAAGUCGUCCGAAGGCAAUCCCGGGCGUAGGAAUAUGAACCUAUUGGUUCAAGCUUUACUGGAUAAAUACAAUGAAGAUCACCAUCUUUUGGGGGAUCUUGCAUAUGAACUUGAUAAUGUUGUGUGCUCCCGACAAAUUUACGAGGAGGAGGGCGGCCUUAUUAACAAAUUCUAUCAUAUCAAUUUGACUGCAAAAACCAAAGGAGAUGAUGGUUUUCACAGUGGUGUCGACAAUCUAUUCUUUGGUGAAAUCACAUGAAUAGAAGGCGAAAAUGAAGAAUACAUGCUCAAUUGUUUCUGUAUGGUUAAACCUAUUGACAAUGGCGCAUGCUCAGGUUGUACGAAGUACGGGGAGUGUGAUUUGAAGCACCCUGUUGAUGCUGAUAAAUACAAAGGUGGCCACUCUACCCCGGUCAUUCAGUGUCGUGGUAUCAAUCAUACUCCUUUCUUGCAACCGGAUGUACCUGUAUACAUCCGGAAUAAGCAGGAUUGGUUGGAGUUUGAGAAGGCUAUGUUGGCGAAGGAGGAGGCUAAGAUAAGAUAUAUAUAUGAGUGCCCUGCUGAUUCUCCUAUUCAAGCAAAAGUGGAUGGUGCAAGAAUGCCUGCUUGUUUGGCCAAGGGACAAGAGGAUGCUGGUUUGGCCAAGGGACGAGAGAGUGCUGGUUUGGCCAAGAGAGGAGAGGGCGCUGGUUUGGCCAAGAGAGGAGAGGAUGCUGGUUUGGCCAAGCGAGAGGAUCACCAGGGAAGCGUGAAGUACAUUGUACCUGCUAGGCGUGGGAUGGUGUUUUGAGUAUCCCCUCAGGUCUCUCUCCACUCAUGGACUUGACAACAGCUACAUGGCGAAGACAGCAUAGCAAUCUAUGGGGAUGUAGUUUGUUGCCACACCAUCUAUCAUAAUUGCUGUUUUUUAAAUUUCCAGUAUCCUUUGAGAAAGAUUGAACUCGUCAUGCAUCAUCAUUUGGAAUACUGUCGCUGUAUUGGUAGCAUGUAUGAUAAAGUUUGGUCGGAUUUUAUAUUGCUAUGGUACUGGAAUCGGAUGCACUUUCCAAUUUUGUCAGUUGUAGAUGAAGUUUCUAAUCCAGAAGUUGAGAUCUUGUAAGUUGAAAUGUACUCAACCAAUAAAUCUUUUCAGUCCAUAAUGCGAUUUCUACC